GGAGCAAUUGCUCAGUGGUAAGAGCACUGGCUGUUCUUCCAAAGGACCUGGGUUCAAUUCCCAGCCCCA
rnacentral:tRNA from 1 species